UACGUAGGGUGCAAGCGUUAAUCGGAUUUACUGGGCGUAAAGGGCUCGUAGGCGGCCAACUAAGUCAGACGUGAAAUCCCUCGGCUUAACCGGGGAACUGCGUCUGAUACUGGAUGGCUUGAGUUUGGGAGAGGGAUGCGGAAUUCCAGGUGUAGCGGUGAAAUGCGUAGAUAUCUGGAGGAACACCGGUGGCGAAGGCGGCAUCCUGGACCAACACUGACGCUGAGUGAGCGAAAGCCAGGGGAGCAAACGGG
rnacentral:rRNA from 1 species